rnacentral:tRNA from 1 species
GGAAGCAUGUCCGUCGCUGGUGGGCGGCCCGGUCUUCAAAACCGGUGGGGGGGAUGAGAAAUCUCCUCGGUGAGUUCGAUUCUCAUAUGCUUCCGCCA